CGCCAGACUCCUACGGGAGGCAGCAGUGGGGAAUAUUGCGCAAUGGACGAAAGUCUGACGCAGCGACGCCGCGUGAGGGAUGAAGGUUUUCGGAUCGUAAACCUCUGUCAGGAGGGAAGAAAGCGCAUGGCGCCAAUCAGCCAUGCGUUGACGGUACCUCCAAAGGAAGCGCCGGCUAACUUCGUGCCAGCAGCCGCGGUAAUACGAAGGGGGCAAGCGUUGUUCGGAAUUACUGGGCGUAAAGGGAGUGUAGGCGGUUUAGUAAGAUAGUGGUGAAAUCCCAGAGCUUAACUUUGGAAUUGCCAUUAUAACUAUUAGACUAGAAUUACAGAGAGGAUAGUGGAAUACCCAGUGUAGAGGUGAAAUUCGUAGAUAUUGGGUAGAACACCAGUGGCGAAGGCGACUAUCUGGCUGUACAUUGACGCUGAGGCUCGAAAGCAUGGGGAUCAAACAGGAUUAGAUACCCCCGUACC
rnacentral:rRNA from 1 species